GACGAACGCUGGCGGCGUGCCUAAUACAUGCAAGUAGAACGCACAGUUUAUACCGUAGCUUGCUACACCAUAGACUGUGAGUUGCGAACGGGUGAGUAACGCGUAGGUAACCUGCCUGGUAGCGGGGGAUAACUAUUGGAAACGAUAGCUAAUACCGCAUAAUAUUAAUUAUUGCAUGAUAAUUAAUUGAAAGGUGCAAUUGCACCACUACCAGAUGGACCUGCGUUGUAUUAGCUAGUAGGUGAGGUAACGGCUCACCUAGGCGACGAUACAUAGCCGACCUGAGAGGAUGAUCGGCCACACUGGGACUGAGACACGGCCCAGACUCCUACGGGAGGCAGCAGUAGGGAAUCUUCGGCAAUAGACGAAAGUCUGACCGAGCAACGCCGCGUGAGUGAAGAAGGUUGUCGGAUCGUAAAGCUCUGUUGUAAGAGAAGAACGGGUGUGAGAGUGGAAAGUUCACACUGUGACGGUAUCUUACCAGAAAGGGACGGCUAACUACGUG
rnacentral:rRNA from 1 species